rnacentral:misc_RNA from 1 species
GAUGAAGAACGUAGUGAAAUGCGAUAAGUAAUGUGAAUUGCAGAAUUCAGUGAAUCAUCGAAUCUUUGAACGCACAUUGCGCCCCCUGGUAUUCCGGGGGGCAUGCCUGUCCGAGCGUCAUUACAACCCUCAAGCUCAGCUUGGUGUUGGGCCCCGCCGCCCCGGCGGGCCCUAAAGUCAGUGGCGGUGCCGUCCGGCUCCGAGCGUAGUAAUUCUUCUCGCUCUGGAGGUCCGUCGUGUGCUCGCCAGCAACCCCCAAUUUUUUUCAGGUUGACCUCGGAUCAGGUAGGGAUACCCGCUGAACUUAAGCAUAUCAAUAAGCGGAGGA